rnacentral:rRNA from 1 species
UGGGGAAUAUUGCACAAUGGGCGAAAGCCUGAUGCAGCAACGCCGCGUGAGGGAAGACGGUUUUCGGAUUGUAAACCUCUGUUUUCGGUGACGAAUAAAUGACGGUAACCGAGUAGGAAGCCACGGCUAACUACGUGCCAGCAGCCGCGGUAAUACGUAGGUGGCAAGCGUUAUCCGGAAUUACUGGGUGUAAAGGGAGCGCAGGCGGGAUAGCAAGUCAGCUGUGAAAACUAUGGGCUCAACCCAUAAACUGCAGUUGAAACUGUUAUUCUUGAGUGGAGUAGAGGCAAGCGGAAUUCCGAGUGUAGCGGUA